UACGGAGGGGGUUAGCGUUGUUCGGAAUUACUGGGCGUAAAGCGCGCGUAGGCGGAUUAGAAAGUUGGGGGUGAAAUCCCGGGGCUCAACCCCGGAACUGCCUCCAAAACUACUAGUCUAGAGUUCGAGAGAGGUGAGUGGAAUUCCGAGUGUAGAGGUGAAAUUCGUNGAUAUUCGGAGGAACACCAGUGGCGAAGGCGGCUCACUGGCUCGAUACUGACGCUGAGGUGCGAAAGUGUGNGGAGCAAACAGU
rnacentral:rRNA from 1 species